UACGGAGGGUGCAAGCGUUGUCCGGAUUUAUUGGGUUUAAAGCGCACGUAGGCGGAUCAGUCAGUCAGGGGUGAAAUCCCGGGGCUCAACCCCGGAACUGCCAUUGAUACUGGAAGGCUUGAGUUCGGUCGAGGCGGGCGGAACUGGUGGUGUAGCGGUGAAAUGCAUAGAUACCACCAAGAACCCCGAUUGCGAAGGCAGCUCGCUGGGCCGAAACUGACGCUGAGGCACGAAAGCGCGGGGAGCGAACAGG
rnacentral:misc_RNA from 1 species